GAUGAACGCUGGCGGCAUGCCUAAUACAUGCAAGUCGAGCGAACAGAUGAAGUGCUUGCACUUCUGACGUUAGCGGCGAACGGGUGAGUAACACGUAAGGAAUCUACCUAUAAGCGGGGGAUAACAUCUGGAAACGGGUGGUAAUACCGCAUAAUAUCUUCUUCCGCAUGGAAUAAGAUUGAAAGACGGCUCUGCUGUCACUUAUAGAUGAACUUGCUGUGCAUUAGUUAGGUGGUGGGGUAAUGGCCUACCAAGACGAUGAUGCAGAGCCGCCCUGAUAGGGUGAUCGGCCACACUGGGAAUGAGACACGGCCCAAUCUCAUACGGGAAGGAGCGUGAGGCAAUCUUCCGCAAUGGGCGAAAGCCUGAUGGAGCAAUGCCGCGUGAGUGAAGAAGGCGUUCAGGUCGUAAAACUCUGUUAUAAGAGAAGAUCAAAUUGUAGAGUAACUGCUACAGUCUUGACGGUAUCUUAUCAGAAAGCCACGGCUAACUACGUGCCAUCCGCCGCAGUAA
rnacentral:rRNA from 1 species